rnacentral:rRNA from 1 species
GACGAACGCUGGCGGCGUGCUUAACACAUGCAAGUCGAACGGAAAGGCCCUGCUUUUGUGGGGUGCUCGAGUGGCGAACGGGUGAGUAACACGUGAGUAACCUGCCCUUGACUUUGGGAUAACUUCAGGAAACUGGGGCUAAUACCGGAUAGGAGCUCCUGCUGCAUGGUGGGGGUUGGAAAGUUUCGGCGGUUGGGGAUGGACGCGCGGCUUAUCAGCUUGUUGGUGGGGUAGUGGCUUACCAAGGCUUUGACGGGUAGCCGGCAUGAGAGGGUGACCGGCGACAUGGGGACUGAGAUACGGCCCAGACUCCUACGGGAGGCAGCAGUGGGGAAUAUUGCACAAUGGGCGGAAGCCUGAUGCAGCAACGCCGCGUGCGGGAUGACGGCCUUCGGGUUGUAAACCGCUUUCGCCUGUGACGAAGCGUGAGUGACGGUAAUGGGUAAAGAAGCACCGGCUAACUACGUG